UACGGAGGGGACCUAGCGUUGUUCGGAAUUACUGGGCGUAAAGCGCACGUAGGCGGAUUUGUAAGUCAGGGGUGAAAUCCCGGGGCUCAACCUCGGAACUGCCUUUGAUACUGCAAAUCUCGAGUCCGGAAGAGGUGAGUGGAAUUCCUAGUGUAGAGGUGAAAUUCGUAGAUAUUAGGAAGAACACCAGUGGCGAGGCGGCUCACUGGUCCGGUACUGACGCUGAGGUGCGAAAGCGUGGGGAGCAAACAGG
rnacentral:rRNA from 1 species